rnacentral:snoRNA from 1 species
UUCGGGCAUCUUUAAGAUCCAUCGGUGCAAUCGUCACCAACGGGUCGAGUCAGUGCCCGCAGAUCC